rnacentral:rRNA from 1 species
GACGAACGCUGGCGGCGUGCUUAACACAUGCAAGUCGAACGGAAAGGCCCUGCUUUUGUGGGGUGCUCGAGUGGCGAACGGGUGAGUAACACGUGAGUAACCUGCCCUUGACUUUGGGAUAACUUCAGGAAACUGGGGCUAAUACCGGAUAGGAGCUCCUGCUGCAUGGUGGGGGUUGGAAAGUUUCGGCGGUUGGGGAUGGACUCGCGGCUUAUCAGCUUGUUGGUGGGGUAGUGGCUUACCAAGGCUUUGACGGGUAGCCGGCCUGAGAGGGUGACCGGCCACAUUGGGACUGAGAUACGGCCCAGACUCCUACGGGAGGCAGCAGUGGGGAAUAUUGCACAAUGGGCGGAAGCCUGAUGCAGAAAAGCCGCGUGCGGGAUGACGGCCUUCGGGUUGUAAACCGCGUUCGCCUGUGACGAAGCGUGAGUGACGGUAAUGGGUAAAGAAGCACCGGCUAACUACGUG